UUAAGUGAAUAAGGGCGCACGGUGGAUGCCUUGGCACUAGGAGCCGAUGAAGGACGGGACUAACACCGAUAUGCUUUGGGGAGCUGUAAGUAAGCUAUGAUCCAGAGAUUUCCGAAUGGGGGAACCCAAUAUCUUUUAUAGGAUAUUACUUUUCAGUGAAUACAUAGCUGAUUAGAGGUAGACGCAGAGAACUGAAACAUCUUAGUACCUGCAGGAAGAGAAAGAAAAUUCGAUUCCCUGAGUAGCGGCGAGCGAAACGGGAAGAGCCCAAACCAACAAGCUUGCUUGUUGGGGUUGUAGGACUCCAAUAUGGUAGUCUGUUAGUAUAGUUGAAGGAUUUGGAAAAUUCCGCUAAAGAGGGUGAAAGCCCCGUAGACGAAAUGCUGACAACACCUAGGAGGAUCCUGAGUACGGCGGAACACGAGAAAUUCCGUCGGAAUCCGCGGGGACCAUCCCGCAAGGCUAAAUACUCCCUAGUGACCGAUAGUGAACCAGUACCGUGAGGGAAAGGUGAAAAGCACCCCGGAAGGGGAGUGAAAUAGAUCCUGAAACCGUGUGCCUACAACAAGUCAAAGCUCGUUAAUGAGUGAUGGCGUGCCUUUUGUAGAAUGAACCGGCGAGUUACGAUUGCAUGCGAGGUUAAGUCGAAGAGACGGAGCCGCAGCGAAAGCGAGUCUGAAUAGGGCGAAUGAGUAUGUAGUCGUAGACCCGAAACCAUGUGAUCUACCCAUGUCCAGGUUGAAGGUGCGGUAAAACGCACUGGAGGACCGAACCCACGUACGUUGAAAAGUGCGGGGAUGAGGUGUGGGUAGCGGAGAAAUUCCAAACGAACUUGGAGAUAGCUGGUUCUCUCCGAAAUAGCUUUAGGGCUAGCCUCGGAAUUGAGAAUGAUGGAGGUAGAGCACUGUUUGGACUAGGGGCCCAUCUCGGGUUACCGAAUUCAGAUAAACUCCGAAUGCCAUUCAUUUAUAUCCGGGAGUCAGACUGCGAGUGAUAAGAUCCGUAGUCGAAAGGGAAACAGCCCAGACCACCAGCUAAGGUCCCAAAAUAUAUGUUAAGUGGAAAAGGAUGUGGGGUUGCACAGACAACUAGGAUGUUGGCUUAGAAGCAGCCACCAUUUAAAGAGUGCGUAAUAGCUCACUAGUCGAGUGACCCUGCGCCGAAAAUGUACCGGGGCUAAACAUAUUACCGAAGCUGUGGACUACACCAUUAGGUGUAGUGGUAGGAGAGCGUUCUAAGGGCGUUGAAGGUCGAUCGUGAGGACGGCUGGAGCGCUUAGAAGUGAGAAUGCCGGUAUGAGUAGCGAAAGACAGGUGAGAAUCCUGUCCACCGUAUGACUAAGGUUUCCUGGGGAAGGCUCGUCCGCCCAGGGUUAGUCGGGACCUAAGCCAAGGCCGAUAGGCGUAGGCGAUGGACAACAGGUUGAUAUUCCUGUACCAGUUGUUUUUGUUUGAGCAAUGGAGGGACGCAGUAGGCUAAGGAAUGCAUGCGAUUGGAAGUGCAUGUCCAAGCAAUGAGUCUUGAGUAGAGUUAAAUGCUUUACUCUCUAAGGACAAGUUGUGACGGGGAGCGAAAUAAUAGUAGCGAAGUUCCUGAUGUCACACUGCCAAGAAAAGCUUCUAGUGAGAAAACAACUGCCCGUACCGUAAACCGACACAGGUAGUCGAGGAGAGUAUCCUAAGGUGAGCGAGCGAACUCUCGUUAAGGAACUCGGCAAAAUGACCCCGUAACUUCGGGAGAAGGGGUGCUGACUUCGGUCAGCCGCAGUGAAUAGGCCCAAGCGACUGUUUAUCAAAAACACAGGUCUCUGCAAAAUCGUAAGAUGAAGUAUAGGGGCUGACGCCUGCCCGGUGCUGGAAGGUUAAGAGGAUGGGUUAGCUUCGGCGAAGCUCAGAAUUGAAGCCCCAGUAAACGGCGGCCGUAACUAUAACGGUCCUAAGGUAGCGAAAUUCCUUGUCGGGUAAGUUCCGACCCGCACGAAAGGCGUAACGAUUUGGGCACUGUCUCAACGAGAGACUCGGUGAAAUUUUAGUACCUGUGAAGAUGCAGGUUACCCGCGACAGGACGGAAAGACCCCAUGGAGCUUUACUGUAGUUUGAUAUUGAGUGUUUGUACCACAUGUACAGGAUAGGUAGGAGCCGAUGAGACCGGAACGCUAGUUUCGGAGGAGGCGCUGGUGGGAUACUACCCUUGUGUUAUGAACCCUCUAACCCGCACCACUAAUCGUGGUGGGAGACAGUGUCAGAUGGGCAGUUUGACUGGGGCGGUCGCCUCCUAAAAGGUAACGGAGGCGCCCAAAGGUUCCCUCAGAAUGGUUGGAAAUCAUUCGAAGAGUGUAAAGGCAGAAGGGAGCUUGACUGCGAGACCUACAAGUCGAGCAGGGACGAAAGUCGGGCUUAGUGAUCCGGUGGUUCCGCAUGGAAGGGCCAUCGCUCAACGGAUAAAAGCUACCCUGGGGAUAACAGGCUUAUCUCCCCCAAGAGUCCACAUCGACGGGGAGGUUUGGCACCUCGAUGUCGGCUCGUCGCAUCCUGGGGCUGUAGUCGGUCCCAAGGGUUGGGCUGUUCGCCCAUUAAAGCGGCACGCGAGCUGGGUUCAGAACGUCGUGAGACAGUUCGGUCCCUAUCCGUCGCGGGCGUUGGAAAUUUGAGAGGAGCUGUCCUUAGUACGAGAGGACCGGGAUGGACUUACCGCUGGUGUACCAGUUGUUCUGCCAAGGGCAUUGCUGGGUAGCUAUGUAGGGAAGGGAUAAACGCUGAAAGCAUCUAAGUGUGAAGCCCACCUCAAGAUGAGAUUUCCCAUUUCUUUAAGAAAGUAAGACCCCUGAGAGAUGAUCAGGUAGAUAGGUUGGAAGUGGAAGGCUAGUGAUAGUUGGAGCGGACCAAUACUAAUCGGUCGAGGACUUAACCAA
rnacentral:rRNA from 1 species